ensembl:lncRNA
GUGAGCAUACACUGAUGCCAUCAAGCCAACCGGCAGAGCAGCCAGCCCACGCCUGAUGUUCCCUGGAUACAGCGUGGAGCCGGGCUGAACGGCGAUGACAGAUGGGUGCUGAGAUACCAGAGACCUGUGAGGCAGUCACUUUCCCCCCACAGACAGUAUGUGACUGUCUCAUGCGGCCUGGAAUCCUAGAAUGUCAUAUGGAAAAUGAAUACCAUCAACCUCAUCCAAGGCUUUGGAGAAAACAUCAUUGUUUCACUGCACAUUGCUGUGAUGGAAUCUGUUGCGUAGCUUUUCCUUCUCUGCAAAAGAUCUGGACAUGAGUCCACACUAAAGAAAGCACAGCUCCUGAACUGGUGUUCCAUCCCAUCUUUUCCUCCUCU